rnacentral:misc_RNA from 1 species
AAGUCGUAACAAGGUUUCCGUAGGUGAACCUGCGGAAGGAUCAUUACCACAUCCAAAAUCUUUUAUCAACCCACAAGUGUGAAGUUAUGAUGAGGAACUUUUUCUCUUCAAAAUUUUUAAUUUUUUUUUGAAACCCCUUUUGAACUUUUUUCUUUCUUUCUUUUUUUUAAAAAGAAGAAUUAUAAGCAAGACUACAAAAAAAUGAGAAAAGAGAAAUACAACUUUUAACGGUGGAUCUCUUGGCUCGU